rnacentral:rRNA from 1 species
UAAGACGGAGGGUGCAAGCGUUGUUCGGAUUGACUGGGCGUAAAGGGCGUGUAGGCGGUUCGUUAAGUCGGGUGUGAAAGCCCGGGGCUCAGCUCCGGAAGUGCGCCCGAAACUGGCGAGCUGGAGCGCGGUAGAGGAGGGUGGAAUUCCUGGUGUAGCGGUGAAAUGCGUAGAUAUCAGGAGGAACACCGGCGGCGAAGGCGGCCCUCUGGACCGUUGCUGACGCUGAGACGCGAAAGCGUGGGGAGCAAACAGGAUUAGAUACCCUGGUAGUCCACGCUGUAAACGAUGGGUACUAGGUGUUCGGGGUGUUGACCCCCUGAGUGCCGACGCUAACGCAUUAAGUACCCCGCCUGGGGACUACGGCCGCAAGGUUA